rnacentral:rRNA from 1 species
GACGAACGCUGGCGGCGUGCUUAACACAUGCAAGUCGAACGGAAAGGCCCGGGUUUUGUGUGGUGCUCGAGUGGCGAACGGGUGAGUAACACGUGAGUAACCUGCCCUUGACUUUGGGAUAACUUCAGGAAACUGGGUCUAAUACCGGAUAGGAGCUCCUGCUGCAUGUUGGGGGUUUGAAAGUUUCGGCGGUUGGGGAUGGACUCGCGGCUUAUCAGCUUGUUGGUGGGGUAGUGGCUUACCAAGGCUUUGACGGGUAGCCGGCCUGAGAGGGUGACCGGCCACAUUGGGACUGAGAUACGGCCCAGACUCCUACGGGAGGCAGCAGUGGGGAAUAUUGCACAAUGGGCGGAAGCCUGAUGCAGCAACGCCGCGUGCGGGAUGACGGCCUUCGGGUUGUAAACCGCUUUCGCCUGUGACGAAGCGUGAGUGACGGUAAUGGGUAAAGAAGCACCGGCUAACUACGUG